rnacentral:rRNA from 1 species
AUUGAACGCUGGCGUCAGUCCUAACACAUUCACGUCGAACGAGUGGCGGACUGGUGAUUAAUGUCUUGGAAACUGCCUUAUGGAGGGGGAUAACUACUUGAAACGGUAGCUAAUACCGCAUACCCUCAGCUUUGCCCAGAUGGGAUUCGCGUGUUGGUGGGGUAACGGCUCACCAAGGCGACGAUCCCUAGCUGGUCUGAGAGGAUGACCAGCCACACGGGAACUGAGACACGGUCCAGACUCGUACGGGAGGCAGCAGUGGGGAAUAUUGCACAAGGGGCGAAAGCCGGAUGCAGACAUGCCGCGUGUAUGAAGAAGGCCUUCGGGUUGUAAAGUAAUUUCAGCGGGGAGGCGUUACCCGCAGAAGAAGCACCGGCUAACUCAGUGCCAGCCGCCGCGGUAAUUC